UCCAUCCCCACAUUUCUUCUUACCUCCAGACACAUGGGAUGGAUGAUUCUUUGACUGUGGGGGGUCUUACCAAUACAGAGAUCAGGCACAUUGUCUACUACGCGGAGACCAGGAUGAUGGCAGGAGGAGCUCUUCCUACUCUGCCUGUACAGCUGAAGGAAGUUGGUUGGCCUUGCCAGGGUGCCUGAAGCACAGGGGUCAGGAAAGCAAAGGACUUCUCAAAAGGGAGGGACGCCUGUCAGCAUUCCUGGAGAAAGCUCUGUCUACUCCAGUGUUCUCUGUUCUUGUAUGGUCAACGGCUGCCUAGUGCCUGAGUGCCGCUUCAUCUGAGCAGGUCAGGAUUGACGCAAACAUAGGAUUGGUAUCCUGCAGGAAGAGGGCUGGCCAAAGCCGAGCUGUCCCUCUUCGGUCUGGUGCACAUUAGCCUUGUUGGCAGUGUGUCUCCUCAGCCUGUGCGUUACGGUCUCUCUCAUAGAAAUAGGAACAAGGGGAAGUUAAAGACAGAGGCCUAAGGAGAUAAUUUAAAAAAAAAAAAAAACUAUCUUUCUGUUGGUU
rnacentral:lncRNA from 1 species